UGCUGAAAGGGGAGUCCCCAACAUGUUGGAUCAAUAAAAAUCCUCAUGCAUUUUGCAACAAUGGUGGCACUCUCUGUGGUCCUUAUGAGUAAGGGUCUUUUGACUACCUACAACAUUUGGUGAAUUGGCUUGGAAGGCCCUCUUCAGGGGGACACAGACUCGGUGCAUCAGAGGUCCUUUCAAUUUUGCCCAAGCUCCUAAAUAGGACUUCUGCACACAUCUGUGCACUCGCUUUCCUUCUCUGUGAGCUUCAUCUCUGCAAGUUCAGUGUCUGGAGAGUGGAUGUCGCCAGGGAAAUGGAAUUUCCUCAUAAGGAUUAGAAUGAAGACUGCGGGGAGAAAGCUUGAUCCUCUCACUGCUGCAGGCAACCCCAGCCCCAGGACUGCAGAUGAGUUUCCUGAUGACCCAAUGCAGCUGCAAUUUUGAAACACCUGUCAAAGAAGAAAGAUAUUGGGCUUAAACCUUCAGUAUUAUCUGCACAGCCAGUUGGAUCAAAAUGGAGAGUGUUGGAUCAAUGAUAUGACUCAGAGAAAGAGCACCCAUCUAGUUUGAAU